GACGAACGCUGGCGGCGGGCUUAACACAUGCAAGUCGAACGGAAAGGCCCUGCGUGUGUGGGGUUCUCGAGUGGGGAACGGGUGAGUAACACGUGAGUAACCUGCCCUUGACUUUGGGAUAACUUCAGGAAACUGGGGCUAAUACCGUAUAGGAUCUCCUGUUCCAUUGUGGGGGUGGGAUAUUUUCGGCGGUUGGGGCUGGACUCGCGGCUUAUCAGCUUGUUGGUGGGGUAGUGGCUUACCAAGGCUUUGACGGGUAGCCGGCCUGAGAGGGUGACCGGGCACAUUGGGACUGCGAUACGGACCAGACUCCUACGGGAGGCAGCAGUGGGGAAUCUUGCACAAUGGGCCGAAGCCUGAUGAAGAAGCGCCGCGUGCGGGAUGACGGCCUUCGGGUUGUAAAAAGCUUUAGCCUGUGACGAAGCGUGAGUGACGGUACUGGGUGAAGAAGCACCGGCUAACUACGUG
rnacentral:rRNA from 1 species